CAUUGGUGUAUCCACUGAUAAGUUUCUCAAGCCCUUUAAAUGUAUUGUAACAGUUUCUGAUAGAGCCUUACAACAAAAAGUGUUGGCGUGAGUGUGUGUACAUGGGUGUGCGUGCCACCACAGGACACAUUUGAAGUCGGAGAACAGCUUGAGAAAGUUGAAUGUGAAGUAUAAGAGUAUUCCAUUGUGGGUACAUACCUCGUUUUCCACAUCCGUUUGUCAGUUGAUGACAGCGAUGAUGGUGAUGACGAUGACGAUGACGACAACUAUGACAAUGACUUCAUACUCAGGUUGAACUGGUUAAGAUGAUGCUAGAUUUCAUCCAGUGUGGACAAUGAAACACACAGCAGGGACUGUCAUCUGAAGAGAGGGAACAGGCAAUGGACUGGUGGGGAUAACCGGACAAGGAACACUGGUACUUGUAAAGGCAGGCUCUGAGGAUUGGAUUCAGGUCAUGAGGCUUGCCCGCAAGUGGCAUUUGCCAUCUCACCAGCCCUCCCCAAUCAAAGACAAUGUCCACACGAAGGAUGUUUUAAAUGAAGUUCACGCCGGUGGUGACAGAUUAUGCACUUAGACUAUCCGCUGAGCCGAACACAUCUCCAGCCCCCAGGAUGGAUGCCUAGCAAAUGCUUCUUGGGUGCAUGAAUACAAGAAGGUUAUUUAGUAAAGCAGACAAUGGAAAACUUAUGCCAUCGCAGGUCUAGACCCCAGAAGAAGCUUCAGGCAGCUACAUGAAAAUAAAAAUUGUCUUUGAACUUAGGCUGUGUUUGAAGGCCUCUGAAUUAACGGAAAUCCACAAGGUUAUAGAGCUGCAUUAUCAGUGGAUGGAAGGGAAGGAGGAGAGAGAAACUGACUCACUCCUUUGAGCUGACAAAGCAUACAAAUCACUCCAGACAAUGGAGAGAAACAAGGCACUCAGCGGAAAAUACAACCAGAGCAGAAGCACUGGAGCAGGUCCUGGCAUGCACUGCUGUAUGUAGGAGAGACAUAGGAGGGCAGGAUGGAAGUUUACAGUAGAGAGCAAAAUGCCACGUUCCACCCGGAAGGGAGAUGGUUUGCGAGGGAUGAUUUCCUUUCUCACCAAUAUCACAUAAUAGAAACCCAAUUAAGACACUAGGGUUACAGAUGAAUUUGUUAGAGCCCUGAGAACCCCCAGAAGGAUGUUAAUGCAAGUCCCGGAAUCAAAAGACUUGAAAUCAAAAGACUGAAAAUUCUGGAGUUUAAACACUACAGAUAGUAUGGAGAAAUGUAGAAAGCAGCUUGGACAAAUCUCACCUCUUCAACUGCUCAAUUCUGUCAGGAUCUAAAACUGGGAUUCUCUACAUCCAAUUUAAGGAUGGAAGAAAUAUGCUUUAAAGGGAAGAGUUCAGGGCUUCUGGGCUGGUGGGAAUGAAUCAUUCAUCUAUCUCUUCAGCUGGAAGAUUUUGAAUGUGUUCCAGCACACAGAUUGAGAGAUAAACUUUAGGUCCACCCUCUGCAAUCCUCAAGGCGAUGCAGAGGCAACUGGUGAGCAGCACUGAGGAGGAAGUGGGGCAGAAGCUUCUCUGCCUGCAGCAUUAACUUUGACCCACAAAAUGGAUUACCCUCCUGGUGCCUUCAGAAUGAGGCAGAAUGUCAAAGAGAAGGGGAGAGGAGAGGAGAGAAAUGGCCAAGACACCAAGAAGAAAGCAGGAAAGGAGGAAAAGAAGGAACUGAAAAUUUAAGGGAGUGGUGUGAAUUAGUCCAAAGGAAGGGACUAGGUGAUGACCAACAAUGUCUCUCUGGGGAGAGUCCAGCUGAGAAAACAAGGACACAGGUAUCUGCUGCUGCAACUCUGGGGAAAGGUCUCAGGAAGAGCUGGAGUCUGCCUCCGUUUUCUAGGUCCUAGGUCUGUAAGUCAGAAGAUCCCUGGAACCACAGACGGACAAAUCAACUGACUGACGUCUAAUGGCUUUAUCACAACUACAUUAGCGUUGCUUGUGCUUGAGUCUAUCAGGGCAGAAGGCUUUGCUUGACUUAAGCUGACUUUAGAAACACACAAUAGCAUAGUUGGCUGGCAGCUGUGAAGGGAUUUAAUUAGGCGCCAAGUCCUCCAAGCCAACUGCCCCAUGAGCCUCUGUUCAAUUUAUUCGACUCCCGGAUCACUGUAAGAAUGCUGAGGUUACAGCUGUGUACCACCUCAUCAAGCUUUCUCCUGGGUUUCAGGGAUUGAACUUGGUUCAUCAAGUUUGUGUGGAAUGUAUCUAUAAAGACUGGCCUUGGCACCUCUGGAUAAUCUUUCUACACUUCACAAUGUUCAGAUUCUCCAGAGUUCUAGACUUGACCCACCGUUCAUCCUAAUCCUCUGGACUUCUAACCAGAUCCCUUCUCUCCCUGAGCCUUCAUUAUCAGCCCUCAUAGACUCCCUAGCUCAUGGUAGAGCCAUGUCAGAUUCCCACUGAAUGGUUCUAGCCAAUGGACCUCAGACACUUAGAUUCCUCCUCACAAAGCUAAUCUCUUGUCACUUUUCUUUUAUGAAAGAUCAAUCACCUACUCCAGAAACUCCUAAAAGGAAACAAAAUACAAAUAACAUAAACAAGAGUCAGCAGUGUUUUUUUCCAAAUCAAUUUAUGCCUGUUGUAUUUUCUA
rnacentral:lncRNA from 1 species